CUAAAGCCACUGGCGCAAAAUAGUAAACAAUUUAGUAAAAUUCUAGUCAUUUUAAAAUUAAUUAAUUUGAAACCAUGAAAAACUUAUUUUAUUACGAUAAACAAAAAAGAACUUAAAUAAAUGGAAUGAAUAAAAACUUAAGCAAAUGAGGUGUUCCAAACUUUCUGGCAAGCCGGACAGUUGGAUUUCUUAAUCAAAUACUUUCGAAUGCAUUCUGAAUGAAAUUUAGUUUCGCAUUCAUUGCAUGAUGGAUCCUGAAAGAGUACACAAAAAAUUAGUUAAAAAAUCAAGAAAUUGCAGAUCCUUACUUACCCAAAGAACAAUAGUUUUACACAAUGAACACUCCUUGACAUCAUCUGGAAAAGAACUCAAAAGUAAACUCUCGAAUUCAACCAUCAUUCGUGGACCAAAGAAUAAAGUAUUAUCCGAUUGGUAAAAGUAA